UCGAGCCUCAGUGGAGGCGUUAUUGGUUCUUUGUGUUUCAGUAGGUUGAGAAACAGAUACUACAAUCUAAUAGAGCCAAUAGCUUUCAAA